rnacentral:tRNA from 1 species
GGUAGGAUGGCCGAGUUGGUCUAAGGCGCCGCACUCAAGUUGCAGUCUCGAGAGAGGCGUGGGUUCAAAUCCCACUUCUACCA